GGCGGCGUAGCUCAGGGGCAGAGCAGGCGGCUCAUAAUCGCCGAGUCGGUGGUUCGAGUCCACCCGCCGCUACCA
rnacentral:tRNA from 2 species